rnacentral:lncRNA from 1 species
GCGCAGCGCCUCAGCCUCGCGCGCCCCCGCCGCCCGCGCCCCGCCGCGCCCCGCCGGCAACUUUCCCUCCGCGCUCGGCCUCCUGCCUCGCCAUUCCCUCCUGCGCUGCGGAAGAUGGCUGUUUGGAGAAGGGGGCGAAGUUAGGGGCUCGCCGGCGCGGGGCGGAGGAGGGCGCGCAGCCUCGGCGGGAGCGGGCGGAGGUGAGUGGCACCGCAGCCGGGGCUGGCUCUGCCCGGGAAAGCCCUGGGAAUUGGGGGCCACGCGUGCUCCGGGCGCGCCGCGGCAUUCCCUGUCUGGCUCUCCGGGUUGGCAGCAUCUCUGCCGGGACUUCCACUCCACUUGCUUUGCAUCUUGCAGCCCGGAGCUUGACUUCCUCCCAUACCCAGAGACAGGAGCAGACCUCCUCCCAUAUCCAGAGACAGCUUGACUCCCAAGAAAUCCAUCACAACCAGGCUCACAGGUUUCUUCUCUGCCAUUGCCACGUGAACAACCAUUUUCAGCUGAGAGCAGGCUGUGACUCUACAUCUGCAACCGUCAGCCCUUCUGAUUCCCACAAUGAGCUCGCCGGUGCAGCCAGAUGGAGUGGCCGGACGGGAGCAGCUCUUGGCUCAGCAAAGAAUGCACAGUAUGAUCAGCUCAGUGGACGUGAAAUCAGAGGUUCCUAUGGGCCUGGAGCCCAUCUCACCUUUAGACCUGAGGACAGAUCUCAGGAUGAUGAUGCCUGUGGUGGAUCCUGUCGUCCGCGAGAAGCAACUGCAGCAAGAGUUACUUCUUAUUCAGCAGCAGCAGCAGAUCCAGAAGCAGCUCCUCAUAGCAGAGUUUCAGAAGCAGCACGAGAAUUUGACAAGGCAGCAUCAAGCACAACUCCAGGAGCACAUCAAGGUAGCAAAUGUGUCUUUGUCUCUGACUUCUCAAUCAGGGCAUCUGCACCAUGAUGUGGGCAUAAGACCGACCCAUGGGAGCACUGAUGGGGAAUUUUCCUGUGAUUAAGACACGGAUAUGUGACUUGAAGGAAAGUGUGGUUGUACUAGUUGGAGACUUGGGUAAGUACCUGGUAAAUCCUUGCUUUGGUAGUGGGAGAGCUCUGCUGAUUUUGCCCUUUCCCUCACAGACUCACUGGUAGCAACAAGAACUUUCCAUUCUCAUGGGUACUCUCUGCUGUGUGCUCCUGUGCCUGUAUAGUUACCACCAAGAACCACAAGACUGGGCAGGUCCAUACUAUUUUACUAAAGAAUCUGUGCGUACUAUUUACCAGGAAGGAUAAAUUCAUCUUGUGAAGAGAGACGGCCCUCUUCUGCUGUGUUUUUGGUUUCAAUAUAGGGCAAUGUAGUUCUUCCUUAGAAAAUAUCCCAUAGGGCUUAUACUCAAAAUACAAAUACAAUGAAAAGAUGAAGGGAAUUUUAUAUGCAAAAAGUGACAUAAAUAUUUCAGUGGUUUUAUAGACUGUUAUUUCAGAGGAAAUAUAGCAUUAGCUGAGGAACUUUUACUGACAUCUGGUGAUUGUAUAUAUGCCAAAUUGUUCUUUUUCUUCUUCAGAAUAUUCAAUGGGAAAAUAUUACCAUAGAUUGAUCUGUUGUUUUUUUUUUUUUUAAAUAAUUGGCAAAGACGUUUAGUAACAGACAACUUGGAGGGGGUGGUGGCACAUGGAUCUUAUCUCAAAACUUGAGAAGCAAAGUGGGGAAGAUCUAAAACGUGAGCUGCUAAGUGGCCCAGUGUUUUCAAAAUUUUAAAAACGCAUGGGGAGGUUUUAGUUCAACAAAGUAGACAUUUAAUUUGAAUUUAUUUUAUUAAAAGCACAAAAUGUUUACAAUCAAUUUUAUUUUAUUGUCAACUCCUUCAAAGAUGACUUAGAGGUGAUAAUCAAUUGAAUUGUGGUCUUUGUCAUAUUUUACUAUAAUGUAUUCUAGGUACUUAAUCUCUUGUAUAUCAAGCACAAAUGCAUGAAUGUGGUAUUAAUAUAGAUAACUAACUUACAGCACUAAAUUACAAUGUCUAAGAAGAUGAAAGUACUAUUUUCUUCCUCAUUUCCCUUGUUCUGCAAGAUAUAUUAUUUGCAUAAAAGGCUCCUAGAUGCCUAAUGUAAAACAUAUUCUCUUUCCUUUACUAGUGAACUUUCCUUUACUAGUAACUUUUAUAUUAUUGCUCUAUUACACAGCUUAAAAACAAGAUUGAAGGGUUCUGUAUGUGUGUUUCCAAUGAAGUCAUUGUCUCAUAAUUAUAUUUAUAUGAGUAUCAUUCACUUAGUUUGUACAUUUAUUUUUGAAUAAAUGCCAAAGUGUUAUUUCAGUUUGACCCUUGAAACGGUAAUAGAGGCAUUGAUGUCUAGAUCUCUUUCUUCAGCCCUCUUAGGCAUGUUAACAGAGCAAUGAGGCAUGAGUCGGGUUUACAUUCUUCACUUUGCUUCGAGAACUGAAUGGCUACAUGGCUCAUUUUCUUGUGUGUGCAAGUCCUCUGCCACAUGUAUUGAGACCUGCUGAUAAGCAAGUUGCAUUGCUCAGCUUUAGAUUUCUCCUUUUCAUUAAUGUCUGGUGCCUUUCUUACUGCUAGAGUCAAUUGUGAGUAAUUUAUUAUUUGACUUCACCCAGAACCUAAGAGUAGGAAAUGGCUUUUAUGGCACAAACAAAAUGAUAUGACAGGUUGAUUGACAUCUGGAGAGACGUUGGAAAAGAGGCACUUCAAGAGAAUAAGGAUUAUAAGAUGGUGAAAGGAGUUUUAUAAAGACACUAUUCCUAAGUAGUACAUUAUUUUGUAAGGAGUUGGAGUCAUGUUUCCAUGUUCCUUUUAAGAUUGGGAAGUUCUAUACUUCCUUAGCCUUUCUGUGUGGCUCUGUCACUGUCAUAUGGGUAGGUCUAAGGGUCAAUGCUUUUAACUUUCAUUUGGAUUUGCUUGCACGAGGAAGGCUAUAUACCAUGCUUUAACAGCAUUGCUUUGAACUCUGACACUCGUUCUCAUCAGCACUUGCUUCCUUCCAUCCUGGUAUAUUGGUUCUCCCCUAGUCAACUAGGCAGAGGGAAACAGUGUGACUUUGCAAAGCCACAUAGAAGGUAACUAGAAUGUAGACACUCAAAACUGUGUUGUCUUCCCCUGUCAGCUGGCAAAGCUCCGCAGUCCCCAUGCUACACAAAGGCUAAAAUGUCUGGAAAUAAACGUAAUGUUUUAUUCAUUUUAAUUUUUAGAUAGGCCUCAUUUUAUCUUGGCUAAACGUUGUGGCUAAGGUCAUGAGUAUGUGUGAUUUUCCAUUCCUAGAAGGAAUUAGAGUUCAAUUGCAGUGAAGCUUUGGAUAAAGCAUUAAAUCAAUUUGAACCAUCAGUAUUGCUAUAGACUUGACAUUAAAAAAGAAUUUAAACAUAACUAUGAAUUCCUAAGUAACAGUGGGUAUUUGAGAAUAUUAAAUGCGUGUAAAUAAAAACAAAACACCACGAUUUUCAGAUGUAACAUGAAGAAUAAACAGAAGAACUCCCCAUUAUGUACGUGAGUUUGGGUCAGGCUCUUGCAGUUGGCAUAAAAAGUUACCUUCUUGGGGCUCCAAAGAAACAACAAGAAGGUCCUGACAACACUCUACACAGCCUUUCAUUUUUGUUCUGUUUUGUUCUAUUAUUUGCUAUAAAAUAGAGGUUUUUAGUUGUCUCAUAUUCAAAGGAUAAAUUAUACUUUAGUUAGUAUUAAGUUAUAAAUAGUAAUAAUUGAAAUUGUAUCAUUCAAAACU